CCUANGGGGGGCAGCAGUGGGGAAUAUUGGACAAUGGGCGCAAGCCUGAUCCAGCCAUGCCGCGUGAGUGACGAAGGUCUUCGGAUUGUAAAGCUCUUUUAGCAGGGACGAUAAUGACGGUACCUGCAGAAUAAGCCCCGGCUAACUUCGUGCCAGCAGCCGCGGUAAUACGAAGGGGGCUAGCGUUGUUCGGAAUUACUGGGCGUAAAGCGCACGUAGGCGGAUUGAUAAGUCAGGGGUGAAAUCCCGGGGCUCGACCUCGGAACUGCCUUUGAUACUGUUAGUCUUGAGUCCGAUAGAGGUGAGUGGAAUUCCUAGUGUAGAGGUGAAAUUCGUAGAUAUUAGGAAGAACACCAGUGGCGAAGGCGGCUCACUGGAUCGGUACUGACGCUGAGGUGCGAAAGCGUGGGGAGCAAACAGGAUUAGAUACCCGGNUANUC
rnacentral:rRNA from 1 species